GGGGCUGACUGGUUUUGACAGCAUUGAAAGGAUUACAUCUUAGGCGGAGAUUAGGUACUACAUUCUCCUAAAUCUAUGUGUGCACAAAAACAAAGGACGAAGAUAAUUCGACUCCUGUUCUCUAUAUGAGAACCGAGUAUAGAGUAGCUGCGUAAGCAGUCUUGGGAACAUAAAACUCUGGUGUUUAUAACUGUAUCGCACCCUAACUAAUAUGGUUGUAGGUUUGUUUAUCCGAAUAUAAACAAAACAAUUCUCUGCUAUGGUAGUAAGACUAAGCUAUAGAUAAGCCUAUAACAACGUGUAAUAGAUACUUUGACUGGACGCGGGUUCGACUCCCGCCAGCUCCACCA
rnacentral:tmRNA from 1 species